UUCCAGACUCCUACGGGAGGCAGCAGUGGGGGAUAUUGGACAAUGGGGGAAACCCUGAUCCAGCGACGCCGCGUGAGUGAAGAAGUCUUUCGGUAUGUAAAGCUCUUUCAGCAGGGAAGAAAGAAAUGACGGUACCUGACCAAGAAGCCCCGGCUAACUACGUGCCAGCAGCCGCGGUAAUACGUAGGGGGCAAGCGUUAUCCGGAAUUACUGGGUGUAAAGGGAGCGUAGACGGUGAUGCAAGUCUGGAGUGAAAGGCGGGGGCCCAACCCCCGGACUGCUCUGGAAACUGUAUGACUUGAGUGCAGGAGAGGUAAGCGGAAUUCCUAGUGUAGCGGUGAAAUGCGUAGAUAUUAGGAGGAACACCAGUGGCGAAGGCGGCUUACUGGACUGUAACUGACGUUGAGGCUCGAAAGCGUGGGGAGCAAACAGGAUUAGAUACCCGUGUAC
rnacentral:rRNA from 1 species